GCCAGCAGCCAUAUCACCAUGCAACUCACAGCUGACAGCCCACUGAAGCUCAGCAGGUGUGAGCCUGGUCAGUACCUGGAUGGGAGACCUCCUGGGAAGCUAUGGUUGGUGCAGGAA
rnacentral:rRNA from 1 species